rnacentral:rRNA from 1 species
UACGUAGGGUGCGAGCGUUAAUCGGAAUUACUGGGCGUAAAGCGUGCGCAGGCGGUUUUGUAAGCCAGACGUGAAAUCCCCGGGCUUAACCUGGGAACUGCGUUUGGAACUGCAAGACUAGAGUGUGUCAGAGGGAGGUGGAAUUCCACGUGUAGCAGUGAAAUGCGUAGAUAUGUGGAGGAACACCGAUGGCGAAGGCAGCCUCCUGGGAUAACACUGACGCUCAUGCACGAAAGCGUGGGGAGCAAACAGGAUUAGAUACCCUGGUAGUCCACGCCCUAAACGAUGUCAACUGGCUGUUGGGAGAGAAAUCUUUCAGUAGCGAAGCUAACGCGUGAAGUUGACCGCCUGGGGAGUACGGCCGCAAGGUUGAA